rfam:Glycine soja cultivar W05 scaffold3255_3, whole genome shotgun sequence.
CUAACAGAGUUUAUUGGCAUUCUGUCCACCUCCACUUCCUACUCUCUCUCUGAGCCACAUGUUCGUGAAGUUGGAGGUGGGCAUACUGUCAACUGAGUUCUGUUGU